UAAGGAAUAUUGGACAAUGGAGGAAACUCUGAUCCAGCCAUGCCGCGUGAGUGAUGAAGGCCUUCGGGUUGUAAAGCUCUUUCAGAUGUGAAAAUGAUGAUGGUAACAUCAGAAGAAGCCCCGGCUAACUUCGUGCCAGCAGCCGCGGUAAUACGAAGGGGGCGAGCGUUGUUCGGAAUCACUGGGCUUAAAGCGUGCGUAGGCGGAUUUAUAAGUCAGAAGUGAAAUCCCCGGGCUUAACCCGGGAACUGCUUUUGAGACUGUAAGUCUAGAAUUCGGUAGAGGUUAGUGGAAUAUCCAGUGUAGAGGUGAAAUUCGCAGAUAUUGGAUAGAACACCAGUGGCGAAGGCGACUAACUGGGCCGACAUUGACGCUGAGGUACGAAAGCGUGGGUAGCAAA
rnacentral:rRNA from 1 species